GAUCCUGGCUCAGGAUGAACGCUAGCUACAGGCUUAACACAUGCAAGUCGAGGGGCAGCAUGGUCUUAGCUUGCUAAGGCCGAUGGCGACCGGCGCACGGGUGAGUAACACGUAUCCAACCUGCCGUCUACUCUUGGACAGCCUUCUGAAAGGAAGAUUAAUACAAGAUGGCAUCAUGAGUCCGCAUGUUCACAUGAUUAAAGGUAUUCCGGUAGGCAUGGGGA
rnacentral:rRNA from 1 species